GGGGAUGACAGGCGUCGAUAGAAAGAACUUUUAAAAUACUGCAAGCCGAGGGUAUUCUUAACCUCGUUAAUCCAAAGGAUAAUCCAAUAAGUGCAACAAACUUAUUUGCCAAAGUUAAGAGCGCUUUAGCUCCUAAUUUUGCUUUUGCUGCAGUUUAAUUAAAACAGCAGCCAUCCUUGCCGCUGACGCCUGAUGCGUGGUAAAGGGUGUAAUUUUAUCAGGCUCUUCCCAUUAGGCUUUGGUCUUAGCCAAAUGAGAGAAAAAACAAGACCAAUCUAAUUUGCUUGGGAUUUCCCAGGCUAAGCUUGUAGAAAGUAUUUCUAAAGGCUUUCUAGACGCGGGUUCAAUUCCCGCCAUCUCCACUC
rnacentral:tmRNA from 1 species